CAGGGAUGUGGGGUGUGAUGUGCUGUACGCCUGUGAAGUCAAAACUGUUGAUCCACAGACCGGAGUCUUGGCUCUCCACCUGGCCCUGGAGAUUGUGGAAGGUCCGCGUCGUAUGCUGCAGGAGGGUGGAUAAAACAGGAAGACUCGUUUUGGCCGCGGGCUGUCUGGACUGCCUGAAUAAGGAAAGAAGAGGCCACAGGACAUCAACAGGAACGUGACGGUGAAGACUGAGGCUAGACCAGCCAGGAUCCACUUAGUGCUCCGUGCCAAGUAGAUGAAAUGCAGCUGAGGCAGACAUAGAAAUAUAAUAUGUUACUGGAGUGGAGGAACAAAUCUACACUGCAGACUUUCUGAAAUUGCAACAAACAUGAGAACAUUAUUGGUAAAAUGGGAGAUUAUUAAUUAUAUGUACUGCCACUCAGUCAACUGUAAAACAGCCGUUGGUUUGCUUAUCUGAAGUCAAACAAUGAAUGUCAAUAAACUGCUCAAACAAAGCAUAACUGCCAGAAGGUUGACCGA